rfam:Caenorhabditis brenneri strain PB2801 C_brenneri-6.0.1_Cont31.13, whole genome shotgun sequence.
GACCUCGCAGCCUAGUGGCUAGCGCUGCUGUUUUGGAAACUGUCAACGCGGGUUCGAACCCCAUUGGGGUCA